UGCUCCAGAAACUAAAGCUAGCCCUCUGUUAAGAACCACACACUGGUUCAUUGUACUGAAUAUAGGUAUAUAUGCUACAAGCUAUCUUGACUCUACAUUUAAUGGAGAGUUACCCAACACUAUUCAUGACAUCAUGUAAACAAAUGCUGAUAAUAGCCAGGUGAGAUGAACCCUCUGUCCCUCAAUUUUUUUCAUAGAUCAUGGACAGAACUGAAGAAUGAAAACUAGUCAGCAAGACCUCAGUGGCUACACUGGCUAAGAAAAAUAAGAAAAUAAGAAAGAAAAUCCCAGAUUCAUUAUUACUGCUCAGGAAGGAAAUGUGUAAAGAGGAAAGGUGAGAAACAAGCAAGCAAACAGGAAAAAUAAAACAAAACAGAAGACUGAAGAAACAUUAGUAUAAAUGAAAAUGAAGGAUCAGGACAAAAGAAGGAAAGACAGGGACA